rnacentral:lncRNA from 1 species
GAACCGAUCGGAAGAAGUCUGGACAAAGAGACCUUAUCAGACCAACACAGGCGAACAGGCAGGUUCAGGGGGAACCCAAGGCAGGGGCCUGGUAGGACCCACCUCCCCCUCCCAUAGCCACAGGCCCAGAAACGCCAAGGAGCUCUGGGUCAGCCCUGCAGCAGGUUCGGAGAUCCUGAACUUAUCUCUCCCUCCUAUUCAGAACAGUCUGCUGUUCUGCCAUGCCUCCCACUGCCCAGCUCCCAACCCUGGUGUGCAGAUCAUUCUAGCGCUUGGCUGGUACAGGAACUGAGGCCCAGCCCUUUCUGGGCUGUUUCCCCAUCCCUCUGCCAGUAGGGAUCCCAAACCCAACUCAAGAAGUCCUUCCAGUUGUUCCUGGGGCAGCCCAUCUCGCAACCCCAAAGCCAAAAGCUCUGUUCCUCCCUGACCCAGGCUGCAGUUCCUCCCAAGUAAAUUCCCUUCUAAUCUACCCGACCCAGCCCAUUGCGCAUGCAACCAGAAAGCCUCCCUAAACAUUCAUACUCCACUCUCCCUGGACCCAGGUCCCAACCCAACCUGCUCUGCUCCACCACAAGCCUCCAAGAGAAAGGGCUUUCCUGGGCUUUCUCCCCUCUCCCAGAGGCCGUGCGCACAGCUGGGACUCAACCCCAGGUCCUGGAGAGAUCCAGCCAUCCAGGAAAUCCAGAUGCUGUGGCCAGAGCUUAACAAAUGUUUGUGGAAUUUAAAAUGAAGUGAGGAGACCGGCUACUCCAAGCUUGGUCAAAGAGACUCUCUCAUCUCCCUAUCCACUUCCCUCAACUCCCACCCCCAAACACACACACAGCUGGUUCUGAAGUCUUGCCUGAGAGCUUCCUGCCAGGGGCCCAGCAGCAGCAGAGCCAUGCCCCCCAGGCUCAGAAGCUCCUGCCCAGGGCAUCCCUCUCCUGCCAGGAGAGGCCCCUCCCCCCUGGACCGGCUGCCCAACUUUCCCUCCCUCCUCCUCCUCCAAGAUCUUUCCAUAAACACCAGUGGCCCCAGGGCAGGAAAAGUCCCCCCUCAACAAGGACUGCAGCUGUCGCUGGGGGACCCAGGGCGUCAGGGUGGGCAAAGAGAAUGGGUGUCACUUUCCACCCUCUUCCAAGCUGACCACAGCUGGACUGUCAUGACAGGCCGGAAGUCAGGCCUCUUGCUGACCCUCCAACCUUGUGUAUCCACCUCGCUUAUCUGCUCCUGGGGAUGGGUGACCCCCAGACCCCCACCCCCCGCCACCACCACAGAUGAGGAGGCUCGUCCAAGCCCCACUGCUUCAAAGUCGCAAGAGGCAAGACUUGAACUUGCUUCCCUUCCCCUCCUUUCCUCCUCCUGGAGGUGCCCAGGCCAGGAUUUGGGGAAGGGAUACAGGGAGGGCGAGUCUCCUUGCUUCACAGGCUGGGGAUGA